CCUACGGGUGGCAGCAGUGAGGAAUAUUGGUCAAUGGACGAGAGUCUGAACCAGCCAAGCAGCGUGAAGGAUGACUGCCCUAUGGGUUGUAAACUUCUUUUAUAUGGGAAUAAAAUGUUCCACGUGUGGGAUUUUGUAUGUACCAUAUGAAUAAGGAUCGGCUAACUCCGUGCCAGCAGCCGCGGUAAUACGGAGGAUCCGAGCGUUAUCCGGAUUUAUUGGGUUUAAAGGGAGCGUAGGUGGAUUGUUAAGUCAGUUGUGAAAGUUUGCGGCUCAACUGUAAAAUUGCAGUUGAAACUGGCAGGCUUGAGUACAGUAGAGGUAGGCGGAAUUCGUGGUGUAGCGGUGAAAUGCUUAGAUAUCACGAAGAACACCGGUUGCGAAGGCAGCUCACUGGACUGCAACUGACACUGAGGCUCGAAAGUGUGGGUAUCAAACAGGAGUAGAUACCCUAGUAGUC
rnacentral:rRNA from 1 species